CGACUAUACAUUGAUAUUCUGUCUAGAUGUGUUAUUUGGAUUACAAGCAACUAAGCAAGGACCAUAAUUCACUCCCACAGGCCACAGCCAUAAAAGUCAUAUUUUUAUGAUUAGCCCUAACUAAUGAAAGAUGAUUGCAAAAUUCUGUUCAUCACCUUUUUUUUUUUUUUGAAAACGAUUCUGUUCAUCACCUUUGGGAUAUAAAUCAAGGCUAACUCGUUCACAAUAAUUGAAGUUAUCCCAUGUUUUGCUUGUUAAAGUAAAUUA
rnacentral:lncRNA from 1 species